rnacentral:lncRNA from 10 species
CCUGAAAGUCCUGUCCGUGAAAACUGACAAAGAAAACUUGAUUUAAAAGGCGUCUUCUGAUAAACCUCAGCAUCUCCUUACUAACAUACUAAGAGCAAUCACUGAACACUUUUCGUAUGUUCAAUGCGUCCUCGCGGGAUCUGAGAAGCAUUGUCCUAUUAAAUCUCAGUCGUCUGAUUUUCAGCAUCAAUUUAUCUUGGGAGCUGCUCCUGCAUUUUAUAAGGUGAAUUCUACAGCAACGAGAUUAAAGAUUCAGAAAGUCUUAUUGGCUGUGCAAACUUGAGGGAGUUGCCUAACCACUCUGGGCCCUGUUUUCCUGGCUUUGCCACUCUUCAGCUGUGUGACCCGGGGAAGCUCUCAACCUCUUUGUGCCUCCAUUUCCACAUCUGUAAAAUGGGGAUAUGAAAGUGGCUGCUUUGUGAAGAGUCCUGAGAAUAAAUGAGUUAAGUUUCCAUGAAUCAGGAAUCCAGGAGUGGUGUAAGUUUCUCAGGAAGUUGCAGUCAAGACAUUGGCCAGGUCUGUGAUCAUCUGAAGGCUUGACUGGGGCUGACAGAUCCACCUCCAAGUUGGUUCACUCCCAUGGUGCAGACUGCUGGCAGAAGAACUCAAUGUCUCCCACAUGGGCCCCUCAACAGGCUGCUUGAGUAUGUUCAGAGCAUGGUGGCUGGCCUCCCUCCAAGUGAGCAGUCCAAGACCUAUUCUGGGACGUCAUACACCAACACUUUUGCCACAUUCUACUCCUUAGAAGCAAGUCCCUAAGCAAAGCUCAUACUCCACGGGAGGGAAACCAGGCUCCACCUCUUGAAGGGAGGGGCACCAAAUAAUUUGCAAGUAUAUUUCAAAACCACUGCAGGUCACAUGGUGCAGAAAGACAGAAGCAGAGCAGAAGAAUAUUAAAACCUAUUGAAUUUACAACAGCAAGAAUAAAAUACAUGAUUGUUGGAACAUUUAGAGCUCCUUUCUCUCUAUUGUCUGCCCAGGAAAACUGAUAUGGAUAAAUAUGGAAGAGAGCUGGCCAGUGGAUGAAAUGGUGAUGUAAAGGUGAGCUUUGCGGAAGAGUGGAGAAAAGAGAUUGGCACUGAAGUGGGCAGUGAAAGAGCAAGAGGCUUGUGGGAGACUUGAUUUCAGAGGCAGCGUUUGGAUGGUUAUGAACAGGCUUUCCUCUUCUUUCAGGGGUACCGUAAAGAUCAGAAUUAAUAGUAUGACUAUUUGGUUUGGAGGCUGUUUCAUUAAGUAUUACACUGUGGAGAGACUGGAUCACAUGGGUCAUAUUAUUUAUUCAGGUUACAUUCACACUCCCUGUGAAUUCCCACCCUAUGCAAACUGGCAAGAAAACGCUAUUUUAAAAGAUUCUUGAACGCUUUUGUAUCUUUCUUAAGACUUUUGUAUACAGCACUGUUCACAUAGUAGGUAGUCAAAAUUAGUGAGAAAGACUCAAGCAAAAAGUUUAUUUGGAUUUCCAUAUGAUUUAUAAGCCAAGACGCUAUAAUCCAAAGAGGCAGGAAAAUGAUGUAAACUAGAAAUAAAAAUAUUUGUAAGUGACAAUGUGUCCUGAAUUCUUUGACAGGUUAAGAGAAAUAAAAGCAGGAGACGAGGAGAGAGUCACACCACGGCUCUGCAGCCCACACCACCUUGGAACCAAACAGGGAGGUGGCAGAACUGAUGGGCUGGCCGCACCACCUUAAAUCUCUUAGCUCCAAAACUGGAGGUGCUCAUCAGGACCCUGCAUCAUUUCUGUGGGUGAUGGAUGGUGUGAGGUAAGGCACAGAGAUCUAGACUUAUUUCUCCUUCCACAACAAUUGUUUCUUGGAAGAGGAAGAAAACUUAGCUGGAUUUUAUCUCUUUGUGUGGAUUUCUGGGGUAGACACCCAGAGGUGUGUGCAGGAGCAUGCUCUUUGGGGCCCACAUAGAGAUUCCAGCAGGUGCUGGAGAUUCUGGGGUAGCCUUUCCAUGACUGCUGGCCUCUUUUCCCCUGUGUUGCUUUGGUUUGCUGUCUGGCUAAAGGCAGGAGUGGGAGAAACUCACAUUCCACAAGAGGCUGCCUGGAGCAGAGGCCAAGAGGGUAAGGUUUGUCCAAGGCCUUCCAUCUCAGCUUUGCUGCCAAUUUGUCAGAAAAAAAAUCAUUUGUGCCAAUUAGACCCUGGUUAGGAAAGUGUUGUCCUGUCUGGGAAGCAGGUACAGAAACCAGUUGCAAGGACAGGAGAUCAAUGAAAGUGACACAUUACUUAUGCCUCCAAUUCUUCUCAGCCCUCAAUUUAGUCUCUGAGACACAGAGAAAAUAAGUGUACUUGCCUUGCUAAUGGGUACAUGGUUGGCUUUGGGCAAUUUAUAUAGAGCACUUUAGUUCCAAGAUGAAAUGCACUGAGAUAUUAGGAUUAGUCUCUGCUUUAAUGAGUUUCUGACUUGCAGGUUUGAAAAAAUUUAGUUCUUUUCUGUAUUUCUCUACAAACACAAAACAAUGAUUUAAUGGUAAAACAACAAUGAAAAGAAACUAGGCCAUUCUCUCCAAAAUGAUUAAAAGGGUACUUCUCCUGACCUGACAUAACCUUUCCUCAUAUGAAUUUAUUAUCUGUAUUCACACUCAUAUUCCACUGGAAUGCCUUGGGUCCAGGUGGAUGGUUGCUUAUGGUUAGUAUCGAUUCUGAGCAGGUAGGCAUUCAUACUGUUUGGUUGACGCCUGUGGUGAACAGACCUUAAGGUGACUUCUUGCACCCCUGAGUCAUUUUCUUGUAUAAUCUCCUCUCUUUGAGGACACAAACUGUGCCCUGCUUCAAACCAGUGGAAUAGAGACAAGGUGAUGAGAUCUUUGGUUAUUGCACCUAACUGCUUCAUUCAUUGCACAAUUAGUCACACGCUGUUUUGUGAUGCAGAACAUUUUUUUUUAAGAGAUGGUAGUCUCACUCUGACACCCAGGUUGGAGUGCAGUGACAUGAUCAGAGCUCACUGCAGCCUCAAACUCCUGGGCUCAAGGGAUCCUCCUGCCUCAGCCUCCUGAGUAGCUGGGACUAGAGGUGCGUGCCACCACACCCAGCUAUUUUUUAUUUUUUGUAGAAAUGGAGUCUCACUUUGUGGCCCAAGCUGGUCUCCAACUCCUGGGCUCAAGUGAUCCUCCCACCUUGGCUUAUCAAAUUGCUGGGAUCACAGGUUUGAGCCACCGUGCUUGGACUGUGAUGCAAAAUUUUAUCUAAACCUUGUAUUGUUGACUAUAGCAUCAUGCACUUACUAUUUUCCCUCUUAACUAGAUUUUAAGUCUCUUGAGGGCAAGAACUCUGUUCUUGAAGAUUUUCAGAAGCCCGAUAGCAUAUGGAAGUACUUGACACACAAUAAGUACACAGUCAUAUGUGAUUUGGUUUCUGAGCCUUCAUUUGUCCAACAAAACCAGAUGGGUCUUAGAUGAAGAUAUACGUGGCAAACACUGCAUGCCUACUGUGGGUCAGGUUAGCUCCCAGACAUGCAGAAAACAAAAGCUCUGUCCUCAGGAGUUCAUGAUGGUUCAACCCAAUCAACGAAGUCUUGCAAUCUCACUUCCUCCUUACCUUGUAGAGUUGGAAGAUAUCCAAAUAUUCCUAGAGUUCUUUGUCAAUCUGUCAGGAUUAUAAUUCCACAGAUCAGGCAGAGUGUAACCAUGAAGCUCUUCAGUGAAUUUUUAGUGACUUUUGGGUGAUUUUUUAGUUUCCAAGUAGAAGAAGCAAAAGACCCUUGUGGUGGUUACCUUCCAUCUAAACAGAGAGUGAGCUACAAAGAUACUGCUGUCCCUCAGUGGCCCAUGGGUGUCCCUGCAAAUCUGUGACUCAAGUGGCCAUAUUCAUAUUAAGCAGACCAGAGAUCAAAACCAUAUUAGGCAUGAACCACUUUUUAUUCAUAGGCUUACCGAAUAUAU